rnacentral:tRNA from 1 species
AAGCCCGUAGCUCAGUGGAUAGAGCAUGAGGCUGUUUCACGACCAACUCGUCGCCGUGAACGAAUGUGCAUCCAGGCGAAUGCCUGACGGACUACAUGGACUCUUAAUCCCCUGGUCGCGGGUUCGAAUCCCGCCGGGC